rnacentral:rRNA from 1 species
AACGCGUGGGAACGUACCCAGAUCUACGGAAUAGCCUCGGGAAACUGAGAGUAAUACCGUAUACGCCCUUCGGGGGAAAGAUUUAUCGGAUUUGGAUCGGCCCGCGUUAGAUUAGAUAGUUGGUGAGGUAACGGCUCACCAAGUCUACGAUCUAUAGCUGGUUUUAGAGGAUGAUCAGCAACACUGGGACUGAGACACGGCCCAGACUCCUACGGGAGGCAGCAGUGGGGAAUCUUGGACAAUGGGCGCAAGCCUGAUCCAGCCAUGCCGCGUGAGUGAUGAAGUCCUUAGGGUCGUAAAGCUCCUUCGCCAGAGAUGAUAAUGACAGUAUCUGGUAAAGAAACCCCGGCUAACUCCGUGCCAGCAGCCGCGGUAAUACGGAGGGGGUUAGCGUUGUUCGGAAUUACUGGGCGUAAAGCGCACGUAGGCGGAUCAGAAAGUUGGGGGUGAAAUCCCAGGGCUCAACCCUGGAACUGCCUCCAAAACUCCUGGUCUUGAGUUCGAGAGAGGUGAGUGGAAUUCCGAGUGUAGAGGUGGAAUUCGUAGAUAUUCGGAGGAACACCAGUG